rnacentral:rRNA from 1 species
GACGAACGCUGGCGGCGUGCUUAACACAUGCAAGUCGAACGGAGUGGCGAACGGGUGAGUAACACGUGGGUGACCUGCCCUGUACUUCGGGAUAAGCAUGGGAAACUGGGUCUAAUACCGGAUAGUGGGGGAUGGGCCCGGGGCCUAUCAACUGGUUGGUGGGGUAAUGGCCUACCAAGGCGGCGACGGGUAGCCGGCCUGGGAGGGUGGACGGCCACAUUGGUACUAAGCGACGGACCAGACGCCAACAGGAGGCAACAGUGGGGAACAUUGCACAAUGGGCGGAAGCCUGAUGCGGCGACGCCGGGUGGGGAAUGACGGCCAUCGGGUUGUAAACUCCAUUCACCAUCGACGCGGUAGAUGGAGAAGAAGCACCGGCUAACUACGUGCCAGCAGCCGCGGUAAUAC